rnacentral:lncRNA from 11 species
GCCUUGAGGAACGCAUCGCUAUGUUUGUCCCUGAAGGACAUCUAUCUUGCUUGAUGCCUUUGACCUUUUCUUCUUUGAAGGAGCCAUUGUUGGAAGGCGAGUCAGAAAGAUCUAUUCCUGUGAUUUCAAGGAUCCAAUUAGCAAAAGGAGGACCAUUCACAAACAAGCUUGGUUGGAAAUGGCUAUAUUUGCUUUUAUCUCUACAGAAAAGAAAAUCUUACUGCCGUUUUCCCAGUCACCUCUUCAUUUUAUCCCCAUGCACCCCACCCCCCCUUCUCAGCUUUCCACUUUCCAAAAGUUCCACAACUUGGUCUCCAGUGCCAGCUGCUGGCCCCAGGAUGUCAUGGAGAGAAUUUAUGAUGUCUCCGGGACAUCAGAAAUUGAUACCUGACAGGAUUCCUCCCCUAAAAAAAAACGAACACCGGCAGCAUCGACCUUGACAAGGAUUUGUAGGGUAAUUUCCAUGAAAACCCUGAAUCAACUUGGAUGCCCAAACAUCUGCUGCCCUCACCCAUUCAAAGUCAUUGAUAGGUCGCCACUUCACUUCAAUAACUUGGAGUAUAGUUGUGCCUGUCUUAGUCUUUGUAAUACUUGUUUCAUUAAUGCGAUGUGUUCUUCCAGUAUUGUGAAUAAAUUAAUGUGUCAUUCAAGUAAACCAAAAUUCCCU